rnacentral:rRNA from 1 species
GACGAACGCUGGCGGCGUGCCUAACACAUGCAAGUCGAACGGAGUAGUUAGCAAUAACUACUUAGUGGCGAACGGGUGAGUAACGCGUAGACAACCUGCCUCUAAAUUGGGGACAACACUGCGAAAGUGGUGCUAAUACCGAAUGUGGUAACUUAGUUGCAUAACUGAGUUAAGAAAGGUGGCCUCUAUAUAUAAGCUACCGUUUAGAGAUGGGUCUGCGUCUGAUUAGCUAGUUGAUGAGGUAAUGGCUCACCAAGGCGACGAUCAGUAGCCGGUCUGAGAGGAUGAACGGCCACACUGGGACUGAGACACGGCCCAGACUCCUACGGGUGGCAG